GAGGAAGUAAAAGUCGUAACAAGGUUUCCGUAGGUGAACCUGCGGAAGGAUCAUUAUCGAAUUACCGGCGAGGGUUGUGGCUGGCCUCUCGAGGCAUGUGCACGCCCGAGCCUUAUAUUCCAACACACCUGUGAACCAAAUGUAGGCCUUCGGGCCUAUGUCUUUCAUCAACCCAAAUGUAUGUCUAUAGAAUGUAAUAUUAUUAUUGCCUUAAAAACGCAAACAAUACAACUUUCAACAACGGAUCUCUUGGCUCUCGCAUCGAUGAAGAACGCAGCGAAAUGCGAUAAGUAAUGUGAAUUGCAGAUUUUCAGUGAAUCAUCGAAUCUUUGAACGCACCUUGCGCUCCUUGGUAUUCCGAGGAGCAUGCCUGUUUGAGUGUCAUUAAAUUCUCAACCCCGCCGAUUCGUUUCGGUUGUGGGCUUGGACUUGGAGCGUGCUGGCGAAAGUCGGCUCCUCUCUAAAUGCAUCAGCGGAUAAUAAUAUACCCUUUGCUGUCAUCAGUGUGAUAAUCAUGUCUCGCUGUUACCAGGCUCGGUGGUGUUCCGCUUCUAAUGGUCUUCGGACAAUACACUUUUAAAUUUGACCUCAAAUCAGGUAGGACUACCCGCUGAACUUAAGCAUA
rnacentral:rRNA from 1 species